rnacentral:tRNA from 1 species
GGCUGAAUAGCUCAGUGGUAAAAGCAGUCGGCAAGCGAAAGACUCGGGUGCGAUUUCCGAUUCAGCGA